GAUGAACGCUAGCGACAGGCCUAACACAUGCAAGUCGAGGGGCAGCACGGUGUAGCAAUACACGGGUGGCGACCGGCGCACGGGUGAGUAACGCGUAUGCAACCUGCCUACUACAAGGGGAUAACCCGUUGAAAGACGGACUAAUACCCUAUAACACAGGGAAUCCGCAUGGAUAUAUUUGUUAAAGAUUUGUCGGUAGUAGAUGGGCAUGCGUUCCAUUAGCUUGUUGGUGAGGUAACGGCUCACCAAGGCAACGAUGGAUAGGGGAACUGAGAGGUUGAUCCCCCACACUGGAACUGAGACACGGUCCAGACUCCUACGGGAGGCAGCAGUGAGGAAUAUUGGUCAAUGGACGAGAGUCUGAACCAGCCAAGUCGCGUGAAGGAAGACGGCCCUACGGGUUGUAAACUUCUUUUGUAAGGGAAUAAAUAGUCUUACGUGCUAAGACGUUGCAGGUACCUUACGAAUAAGUCUCGGCUAACUACGUGCCAGCAGCCGCGGUAAAACGUAGGAGACGAGCGUUAUCCGGAUUUACUGGGCGUAAAGAGCGUGUAGGAGGCAAUACAAGUUGGAUGUAAAAGCUCUCGGCUAAACUGAGAGAGGACGUUCAAGACUGUAGAGCUAGAGGAAGGCAGAGGUAGAUGGAACUCCGGGAGUAGUGGUGAAAUGCGUAGAUAUCCGGAAGAACACCAGAGGCGAAAGCGAUCUACUGGGCCUUAACAGACACUGAGACGCGAAAGCCAGGGUAGCAAACGGGAUUAGAGACCCCGGUAGUCCUGGCCGUAAACGAUGUAGACUAGGCGCUUGUCGGGCAAAACCAUGAGUGUCGAAGCGAACGCGAUAAGUCUACCGCCUGGGGAGUACGGUCGCAAGAUUAAAACUCAAAGGAAUUGACGGGGGCCCGCACAAGCAGCGGAGCGUGUGGUUUAAUUCGAUGAUACACGAAGAACCUUACCAGGGUUUGACAUACAGGUGGUAGAGAAGCGAAAGUGGAACGACCCUUCGGGGAACCUGAACAGGUGCUGCAUGGCUGUCGUCGGCUCGUGUCGUGAGAUGUUGGGUUAAGUCCCGCAACGAGCGCAACCCCUGCUGCCAGUUGCCAUCGGGUAAAGCCGGGCACUCUGGCGGGACCGCCGGCGACAAGCUGGAGGAAGGUGGGAUGACGUCAAGUCAUCAUGGCCCUUAUGUCCAGGGCGACACACGUGCUACAAUGGUCGGUACAGAGGGAAGCGAGCCUGCGAAGGCAAGCGGAUCCCAGAAAGCCGGCCCCAGUUCAGAUUGAAGUCUGCAACCCGACUUCAUGAAGCCGGAAUCGCUAGUAAUCGCGGAUCAGCCAAGCCGCGGUGAAUACGUUCCCGGGCCUUGUACACACCGCCCGUCACACCACCCGAGUUGGGUGCACCCGAAGCCGGUGGCUGAACCCGUAAGGGACAGAGCCGUCGAAGGUGUGCUUGGUGAGGGGGGUG
rnacentral:rRNA from 1 species